rnacentral:lncRNA from 1 species
GUCCUAAAUAAGAAGAGCCAUACUGAAGAAGUUUUAUUCAGGAGACAGACUGAGAAGAGAGCCAGAUUACCUCCUGGGACUUUUCAAAAAUGCCUCAUCCCAAGGAACGCCCCAAGGGUCUAGAACUGCCCAUCCCAGGUCAACUGGGAAGAAGGAAAGACAAGAAAAGAACGUACAACCUGCAAAUAAUAGUAAGGGAGUAAGUGGAAAUAUGAAAUAAAUACUGAUGCGCCUGCCCCAUCUGGUCACACAGUGCUUUGAAGAAAGGCCCUUCCUUUGGGGAAAAUGACAAGAAUUCGGCCUUCAUCAUCAAUGCUGGAGAAUAAGACAGACCUGUUCACUUCCCCUUCGGCAUGUGACGUUUGGAACACAGAUUUACGUGAGGAGCAGGAAAAGGUACUCUUUGCCACGUCUGCACUGUCUGAACAAGAGGAAGGCAGUGGACUUAUUAGUGUCAGGCUGGCUAACCUUGGAUCUGGUCAAACAAUUUGUUGUGAAGGAAAGAGCUUUUUACCUGGAGAAGGAACACACCUCGACCCAGCCAACAAAAUGGCUUUUAAAUACCUACACUUGGAAUUCCCCUCAUGGCUCAGUGGUUAAUAUACCAGACUAUCAUCCAUGAGGACACAGGUUCAAUCCCUGGCCUCACGUAGUGGGUUAAGGAGCCCUGUAUUGCUUCGGCUGUGGCACAGGCCGCCGGCUACAGCUCCGAUUUGACCCCUAGCCUGGGAGCGUCCACAUGCCGCAUGUGUGCCCCCCCCCAAAAAAAGACCAAAUAAAUAAAUACAUACAUACCUACA